rnacentral:rRNA from 1 species
UACGGAGGGGGCUAGCGUUGUUCGGAAUUACUGGGCGUAAAGCGCACGUAGGCGGAUUGUUAAGUCAGGGGUGAAAUCCUGGAGCUCAACUCCAGAACUGCCUUUGAUACUGGCAAUCUGAGUCCGGAAGAGGUGAGUGGAACUCCUAGUGUAGAGGUGGAAUUCGUAGAUAUUAGGAAGAACACCAGUGGCGAAGGCGGCUCACUGGUCCGGUACUGACGCUGAGGUGCGAAAGCGUGGGGAGCAAACAGG